UUACUUCAAUUUCACCAGUUGCACUUUCUACUAAUUCCUUUUCUAUCCACGACAACAUCUUAUUGACACAUCUUUGCCUGACUAAAACUGUUUCAUUGAUUCUCUUAUUACUGAAGAGCUCAACUGUGCAGAUCCGCCUCAAGGUGCGCCAGUAGGGGCUACAUUUGCCUAAUACCAUAGAGCUCUUGUAGUAGUCAUUUGCCCUCAUGACAUCAUUAUUAAACCGGUCAAUAAAGGAGAGAUCAUGGUUCUUGAACAACUCUUCGGCUGCACCAGCAGAAAGAAUCACCAUGGUCUUGACAGCUCCAAGAUCUAACCACACAACAGGACCAUACUUUUCUUUCAGUGCAGCUAGACUUCUGUGUGGUAAAGCUCCAAGAUCAAAUAUAUUUCCAAUGACUGGCCAGCCUCGAGGCCCUGGAGGAAGCUUGGAACGUCUGUAACUAUUCUUUCGUCUCAAGUGCCAUAUCAGUGGCAUCAAAGUGAACAAAAUGGACCAAAUAACAUAGUUCCACUUCAACUCCAUGUCCAGAGACUACAGACUCUGUACUGAGACUUGAGUUUCGACUUAUACUUAAUCUUAUAAAAAAAAUUCUGCGGCGAUCUCAGUUUGCGGAUCCACCAAGUCACUAAAAUUCAAACAUAUUAAUAGAGGGGUGCUCAAACUAGUACUCCCAGUAUUAUUGAACCUUGUUUUCAGUCCAUACAAAGAUAUCAUCCACACAUUUUUGGCAUAUCAAUAUAUCAUCCAGCUGAUAUUUAUUUUUUACAUUGAAGACCUCAAUAAUACAUCUGCAUUAAACGUGAAUGUCGAAAUCAUCUUUAUAACAAAGGCACAGCAUGUCAAAGAAGUAAGAUCACGGAUCUGGAAUAAGUCUUUGGGCCUUUGGCAGCAUGCACACGGUACUGUAUGGGCACAGUGUUCAUCAAACCGCACAAAUCGUAUAAUCGCUCCGCGGGCUGUUAGCGAACAAGCUCGAGCUCGGUUCGAUAAAAGCUCGGUUCGGCUCGUUUUGUUAAGAAUUUGAACUCGAGCUCGAACACAAUGUGUUCGUUAAGAAAACGAGCUCGAGCCGAGCUUUUAGUAUGUUCAGCUCGAGCUCGGCUCGAACUCGUUCGGCUCGUUAAAACUCGAAAAAAUGCAAUAUUUUCGGGAUAUAUUUAUAAGAUAUACAUGUUAUUGAACUCAUAAUUCAACAUAUAAUACAUUUAUAGAUUUUAGUGAUGUAACAAAAGUUUCGGAAUUUUUUUUUAUUUGGUUUACUAUUUUAUCAGUUAAGCAUCAGUUUGACAUGUACACUAACUAGUGUAGUCUUGAAUUGAUGUUUUGAUUUUUUUAAAAAUAUUUUUCAUUGAUCCGACCUCGUUUGGCUCGGCUCGUGAACAAGCUCCUGUUCGACUCGUUAGUCAACGAGCUCGAGCUCGAACAUAAUUUUUGUUCGAUAAAAAACUCGGCUCGGCACGGCUCGACUCGUUAGAAAAAAAAAAUUAAAGCUCGGUUCGGCUCUGUUCGUGAAGCCCUACGGAGCACACUCCAAAAGUGGUUUUUAGCUUUUGUGACUGUGGGGUGAAAUUUUGAAAAAUUACACCUUGCGUUGCGAGUUGCAGUUUAACAUUAUACACGUGGUUCAAACCGUAACAUACAGUAAUAUAUAACAACUCAGUUAAACCAGAAACCAGUGAUCGGAUCACUUACAUCUAGUGAUUAUUCAGAGUCUUUCUUCAAUCACUGGCAUCAUCUCUGAUUACCACCAUUAAUUGUGAUGAUGAUCAUGCAUCCAUUCGUUUGGGAACUCCUCUUAAGGGCACUAGUUUUCUUGCUGAGACCCCCAUUGCUUCUCUCAUGUCCAUUUUAAUCCCACCACUGACACUAUCACAAAGCUUCCAGUCGAAAUGAUGAAGCAACGAGCCUAAAAUGAGAGGAAGAACACGAUGAGCCAAAGGAAGACCAGGGCAAAUUCUUCUCCCAGCACCAAAUGGUAUAAACUUAAAACUCUGUCCCUUGUACCCAAUACUCGAUUCCAAGAAUCUUUCAGGUUUAAAAGACAAAGCAUCCUCCCAACUCUCUUCGUCUCUCCCAAUCGCCCAAGCAUUGACAAAAACUUGUGUAUUUUUUGGAAUGUUAUAGCCCAUGAAGGUCGUAUCUUGGACCGCCUUUCUUGGUAGCAGAAGUGGAAUUGAAGCAUGUAAGCGUAGUGAUUCUUCCACGCUUGCUUGCAAGUAAGGCAGAUUAUUAAUGUCACUCUCUUCCAGUUCCUUGUUUGCUCCCACAACUCUACCAAGCUCCGCUUUGAUCUUCUUCAGUGAUUCAGGAUUCCUUAAGAGCUCGCACAUCGCCCACUCAAUUGUGGCGCUUAUUGUGUCUGUUGCCGCAACAAAUAUAUCCUGAAACAAUUAUGUGUAAAUACAAUACCAUCAAAAAUUUAUUAUUAUUCUACAUUUCUCCUUAUAACUUACCAAUAAAAAGAUAGUGAUUUGGUGGUGUGAUAGUAUUUCUGGUUCAUCCUUCGCGGUACCCUCAAAAUCUAGCACCACGUCCAAGAAGUCCUUGUGAUCUGUGGCCUUUCCUUCCCUGUGUUGCCUCUGUUUAACCCGAUCAUCCACGAAUCCUGAAAUAAUUUUAAUUGCUUUGCCUAGAUCCCUGUCGGUUCUCGCCCUCAAUCCUUGCAGGUCAAGCCAUCCAAGCCAAGGAAACAAAUCAGAGAUAUUAGGACUGGUGACACACUCUGAGAAUCCUGACAAGGCGGUGUAGAAUUCAGAUGCCAUCUCAGAUUUCGGACUCAUCAAGUCACGAGAUAGUGUCAGAUUUCCAAUCAUGUUAAAUAUUGCUGGGAACACAAACUCUAUCACUUCAAUUUCACCACUUGCACUUUCUUCUACUUCCUUUUCUAUCCACUUCAACAUCUCAUCCACACAUUUUUUCUUGACCAAAACUGUUUCGUUGCUUCUCUUAUUGCUAAAGACCUCCUUAUUACAUAUCCGCCUCAUGGUGCGCCAGUAGGGGCUAUAUGCGCCCAAAGCUAUGGAGCUCUUGUAGUAGUCGUGUGACCUGGUUAUAUCAUUAUUGAACCUGUCAACGAAGGAGAGAUCAUGGUUCUUGAAAAACUCUUCAGCUGCACUGGCAGAAAGAAUCACCAUGGUCUUGACAGGUCCAAGAUUUAGCCACACAACAGGACCAUAUUUUUGUUUCAGCGCAGCUAGACUUCUGUGUGGUGAAGCUCCAAGAUCAAAUAUAUUGCCAAUGACUGGCCAGCCUCGAGGCCCCGGAGGAAGCUUGGAUCGUCUGUAACUAUUCUUCCUCCUCAAAUGCCAAGCAAGCGGCAUCAGAGUGAUCAAAAUGGACCAAAGAACAUAGUUCCACAUCCACUCCAUGCUCAGAUUACAGAUUUGCUACCAAAUGAGAGUUGACCUGUAUGCCAGGAAAGCCAUAUUACGUCAAAGUCAAAAAUGGCUUAAAGUCCGGGACUUUAAGUCCUGCCAAACAGGCUCUAAACAUACACAUAUCACAUUUCAUAACAAAUGAAAAAAUGUACCUUCUUUAAGUGUCUGGAGAGUGCUGCACUGCUGUUUGUUCACAGAUAUAAUUAAGAUCAGCACAGAUGAGAAUUAAUUUAUAUUUGAAAAUUCUCAAACAAUAUCAUACAAUAAGACAAAUAUAACCAAAGAGUCAAAACUUUAGACUAAUGUUCACCUGCUCCACAUAAUUAAGCACACACUACUUGAUUUAUUAAUUCUAAGCACACCACUUAUUUUAGAAAUGGAAGGCCAGGCCAGGGCAAUUUAAAUGGACAGUAGUCAAGGCCCAAAACUUAAAGAGGCCCAAUUUUUAUAUAUCUUAGUAUCUUAUAAUAUUUUCUGCUAAACAUUUAUUUUGCAAUCUUAAUAGUAAAAAAAUAAUUUAAGAAAAAAUUCUUUAUUAUUGUUGCAUUUCACACUUUACAAAUCACAAUUUUAAUAUCAUCUACUUUCUUCACUUUUUCUAAUAAAAGAUGCAAGAUCAAGGACAUUUUUAAAAUUUUCUGCAUCCUCAUUUUCAGGAUACCUAACAUUUUUCGUAAGUAAAUGAUUGAAAAUAAAUUGAUGUAAAAAUAAGAAAUAUUAUAUAAAUAUCACAAUUAUAACUUAAGAAAUAAUAUAAUAUUAUUAAUUUAGGUAAAUAAUAGUGAGAAACAAUAAGAAAAUGAGAAAUAAGUUGGAGAGAGGGUUAGUGGACAUGAGAAUUAAAAUGAGAAAGAAUUAAAUGAAGAUGAGUGAAUGUGUGUAUUACCAUACUAUGGGAGGUUAACAAAUUUUUUUUAUGUCAUUGGAUUUCUUUCUUUUAUUACCAUACUAUAAUAUUUGCUAGGUUUGUAUCCCAUUUAUAUAGUAAAAACUUAUAAAUAUUGAAUUAUAAUAAAUGGAUAUUAAUAUUAUAAUUAAAUGUAUUUAUAAUUUUGAAAUACGAUUAUGAGUUUACAAAUGAAAAAAAUAUAUAUAAUUAAAUAUUUUUAAUCAAAUAAUUUAUUAUAAUUCUUGUCUAGCACACAUUUAUAUACAAAUCUAUCUACUUAUCAUAUUGUAUUAAACUCAAAUAUUAAAAUUUGGUUGGUAAUAAAAUUGGUUAGUAAUUAUUAAAGUUAGUAAUAACAUAACGGUAUUGAAAUUUGAUUAUAUAAUAUGGAUGGAUCAUCAUCCCUGGAAAAUAUUAAACAAUAUUAUAAUACAAAAUUUAUUAAGACAAGGGUGAUUUUAUUGUCAAACAAGUACCCCAUCAGAGAGGUACUAAAUUUUCUUCACCAAUUGAUUGUACAGAUGAUCAUGCAGUCAUUUGUUUCGCAACUGCUCUUAAUGGCACUAGUUUUCUUGCUGAUACCCCCAUUGCUUCUCUCAUGUCCAUUCUAAUCUCACCACCAACACUUUCACAAAGCUUCCAGUCGAAAUGAUGAAGCAAUGAGCCUAAAAUGAGAGGAAGAACACGAUGAGCCAAAGGAAGACCAGGGCAAAUUCUUCUCCCAGCACCAAAUGGUAUAAACUUGAAACUCUGGCCGAUACUCGACUCCAAGAAUCUUUCACGUUUGAAAGACAAAGCAUCCUCCCAAUUCUCUUCGUCUCUCUCAAUACCCCAAGCAUUGACAAAAACUUGUGUAUUUUUAGGAAUGUUAUAGCCCAUGAAGGUUGUAUCUUGGACCGCCUUUCUUGGUAGCAUGAGUGGAACUGAAGCAUGUAAGCGUAGUGAUUCUUCCACAGUUGCUUGCAAGUAAGGUAGAUUAUUAAUGUCACUCUCUUCCAGUUCCUUGUUUGCUCCCACAACUCUACCAAGCUCGGCUUUGAUCUUCUUCAUUGAUUCAGGAUUUGUUAAGAGCUCACACAUCGCCCACUCAAUUGUGGAGCUUGUUGUUUCUGUUCCCGCAAUAAACAUUUCCUGAAACAAUAACAUAAUCUCAAACUCACACACACACAUUCAUUCUCUCUUUAACUUGCCAUAUACAUUUCUAAUUGGACUUACCAUUAGAAAGAUAGUUAUUUGGUGGUCUGAUAGUUUAGCUGGUUCAUCUUUUCCAUUACCCUCGUAAUCCAGCACCACGUCCAUGAAGUCCUUGUGCUCUGUUGCCCUUCCUUCCCCAUGUUGCCGUUGUUUCACACGCUCCCUCACAAAUCCUGAAAUAAUUUGCAUUGCUUUUUUCAGAUCUCGAUCUGUCCUCCUCCUUAAUCCUUGAAGGUCAAGCCAUCUAAGCCAGGGAAACAGAUCGGAGAUAUUAGGACUUGACAAACAUUCUGAGAAUCCUGACAAAGCCGAGUAAAAUUCAGAGGCCAUCUCAGAAUUCGGGUGCAUCAAGUCUUGAGACAGUGUCAGAUUUCCAAUCAUGUUAAAUAUUGCUGGGAACAGAAAACUUUUUACUUCAAUUUCACCAGUUGCACUUUCUACUAAUUCCUUUUCUAUCCACGACAACAUCUUAUUGACACAUCUUUGCCUGACUAAAACUGUUUCAUUAAUUUUCUUAUUACUGAAGAGCUCAACUGUACAGAUCCGCCUCAAGGUGCGCCAGUAGGGGCUACAUUUGCCUAAUACCAUAGAGCUCUUGUAGUAGUCAUUUGCCCUCAUCACAUCAUUAUUAAACCGGUCAAUAAAGGAGAGAUCAUGGUUCUUGAACAACUCUUCAGCUGCACCAGCAGAAAGAAUCACCAUGGUCUUGACAGGUCCUAAAUUUAGCCACACAACAGGACCGUAUUUUUGUUUCAGUGCAGCUAGACUUCUGUGUGGUGAAGCUCCAAGAUCAAAUAUAUUGCCAAUGACUGGCCAGCCUCGAGGUCCCGGAGGAAGCUUGGAGCGUCUGUAACUAUUCUUUCUCCACAAGUGCCAAGAAAGCGGCAUCAGAGUGAUCAAAAUGGACCAAAGAACAUAGUUCCACAUCCACUCCAUGCUCAGAUUACAGAUUUGCUACCAAAUGAGAGUUGUCCUGUAUGCCAGGAAAGCCAUGUUACGUCAAAGUCAAAAAAUGACUUAAAGCCCGGGACUUUAAGUCCUGCCAAACCGGCUCUAAACAUACACAUAUCACAUUUCAUAACAAAUGAAAAAAUGUACCUUCUUCAAGUGUCUGGAGAACUGCUAGUGCUGCACUGCUGUUUGUUCAAAGAUAUAAUUAAAUCAGCUCAGAUAAGAUUUAAUUUAUAUUUGAAAAUUCUGAAACAAUAGCAUAUAAGACAAAUAUAACCAAAGAGUCAAAACUUGAGAGUAAUUCUAAGCACACCACUUAUUUUAAAAAUGAAAAGCAUGUUAACUUGUAUACUUGCUUUACUGAUGUAAAGCAUGCUAAAUUCUUGUACAUCUUAAUCAUGGGUAAAUUUUUUUCAAAACUAGGGUUUUUUUUAUCACGUAACUUUUGAUUAUUAAUGUAUAAAUUGGAGGCUGAGCGUUCUACACUAUAAUCAAAAUUUGGAGACCUCCGUCAAAUCUGGCUCUGAUACCAUGUUGAGAACUAGUCCUUUUAAAAUCUUAAUCAAAACUUGAGAUCUCUGCCAAACCUGGCUCUGAUAUCAUGUUGAGUUUGGCUCUGAUACCAUGUUGAGAACCUGUCCAUCUAAAAUCUUAAUCAAAACUUGAGACACUUGACUCUGAUGUCAUGUUUAUCUAAAACCUUGAAGUGUUAGAGGAAGGUCCUGAAUAUAUAUUACGUUAUAUUUCAACAAAUGGAAUUUGUAUCUCGUUGUAAUUCAAGAACUCUUCUGAAAUUACAAUAUCAAAUUAUUAAAUCAAGUUGUGUAGGAAAUUUUGUCGCAGCUUCCAAAAUAAUAAUACAUUUUAUAUGAACUUCAUUCCUGUGUUGGGGCGAAAAGCUUAAGCUAAUUCUCAUUUUGGACAAAUCUGUAUUCUGCAGUUGUAAUGCUAUGAGUUUGUGACCUGAAUUUCCUGCAAACAAAAUCCUUACUAUAUGCCCAUCUGCAAAGUCAAGUAACAAGAAUACGAAGCUUAUGAAUCCAGGGGAAGUGGUUCGUAUAUUUUAAACAAGGAGAUGACAAGGCAUAUAUACUAAUUUUCCAUUACCAACUAAUUUUAUGAUCAUACCACAUUUCAUUUUGGAACUGCCUUAAAGGGUAUCAGUUUUCUUGCUGAUGUGCCCAUUGUUUCCCUCAUGUCAAAUUGUCAUCUCACCGCUGCUAUUUUCACCAGGCUUCCAGUCAAAAUAGUGAAGCAAUGAGCCAAGGUUUAGGGGAAGAACGCGAUCAGCUAGUGGAAGACCUGGGCAAAACCUUCUACCCACACCAAAUGGUAUGAACUCAUAAUCCUGACCCUUGUACCCAAUACUGGACUCCAAGAAUCUUUCGGGCUUAAAUGACAGAGCAUCCUCCCAAAUUUCUUCGUCUCUUCCAAUUGCCCAAGCAUUGACAAAAACAUGAGUGUUUUUAGGAUUUCUGAUGUCUUUUCCAGCAUAGAGUUUUAGCAUUAGAGAUAAGAAUAUUACAACAAGAACUAGUACUACAAUUAUUACGAAGUUAAUGAUAGUGUAAAUGAAGUCCAUCCUUGAAGGUCUGGCAAAAAUGGUUGAUUUAUCAGCCAAAUGCUGUCAGUUCCAUUAUAUAUAUGCAGGUUUGCAUUGUCAAGAUUAGGACAUAACAUUUCUUUAAUGUAGCCAUUUCUAUCAUCUUUAUACAUAAUGCAUAGCUUGUAAUAGAUAAGGACGUUAACAUUUUUUAACCUACUGGCAUUUCUGUUCUUUUCCAACAGAAAUUAUAGUACAACUCUCGCGAUUCCUACAUACAUGAAUGGCAUCAUAGCAUUAAGUAUCUUCUGCUUGCUAUAUAUGUUAUGGAACUAAAGUGCAAACGAUAUUCAAGAAUUCUAAUUUGGACCAUCGACAGAUCCAAAUUCAUUAUUUAGGGAAAAAUGACAAUUUGGAAUACAAUAUUCAUCAGGGGAAAGUGUAUCUUGAUAAGAAAGCAUACUGAGUUUCCUUCACUGAAAUAUUAUUAUGAUGAUCAUGCAGCCAUUCGUUUUGGAACUGCUCUUAAGGGCACUAGUUUUCUUGCUGAUACCCCCGUUGUUUCCCUCAUGUCCAUAUUAAUCCUACCACUGACACUUUCACAAAGCUUCCAGUCGAAAUAAUGAAGCAAUGAGCCUAAAAUGAGAGGAAGAACACGAUGAGCCAAAGGAAGACCAGGGCAAAUUCUUCUCCCAGCACCAAAUGGUAUAAACUCAAAACUCUGGCCCUUGUACCCGAUACUCGACUCCAAGAAUCUUUCAGGUUUGAAAGACAAAGCAUCCUCCCAACUCUCUUCGUCUCUCCCAAUCGCCCAAGCAUUGACAAAAACUUGGGUAUUUUUAGGAAUGUUAUAGCCCAUGAAGGUCGUAUCAUGGACCGCCUUUCUUGGUAGCAUGAGUGGAACUGAAGCAUGUAAGCGUAGUGAUUCUUCCACAGUUGCUUGCAAGUAAGGCAGAUUAUUAAUGUCACUCUCUUUCAGUUCCUUGUUUGCUCCCACAACUCUACCAAGCUCCACUUUGAUCUUCUUCAUUGAUUCAGGAUUCCUUAAUAGCUCACACAACGCCCACUCAAUUGUGGCGCUUGUUGUUUCUGUUCCUGCAAUAAACAUUUCCUGAAACAAUAACACAAUCUCAAACUCAAGACACAAAUUCAUUUUCCCUUUAACUGGCCGUAUACAUUUCUACUUGGACUUACCAUUAGAAAGAUAGUUAUUUGGUGGUCUGAUAGUUUAACUGGUUCGUCUUUUCCAUUGCCCUCAUAAUCCAGCACCACGUCCAAGAAGUCCUUGUGCUCUGUUGCCCUUCCUUCCCUGUGUUGCCGUUGUUUGACACGCUCCCUCACAAAUCCUGAAAUAAUUUGCAUUGCUUUUUUUAGCUCUCGAUCUGUUCUCCUCCUUAACCCUUGAAGGUCAAGCCAUCUAAGCCAGGGAAACAAAUCUGAGAUAUUAGGACUCGUCAAACAUACUGAGAAUCCUGACAAGGCCAUGUAAAAUUCAGAGGCCAUCUCAGAAUUUGGAUGCAUCAAGUCUUGAGACAGUGUCAGAUUUCCAAUCAUGUUAAAUAUUGCAGGGAACAGAAAAUCUUUUACUUCAAUUUCACCCGUUGCACUUUCUACUAAUUCCUUCUCUAUCCACGACAACAUCUUAUUGACACAUCUUUGCCUGACUAGAACUGCUUCGUUGAUUCUCUUAUUACUGAAGAGCUCAACUGUACAGAUCCGCCUCAAGGUGCGCCAGUAGGGGCUAUAUAAACCUAACGCCAUAGAGCUCUUGUAGUAGUCAUCUGCCCUCAUCACGUCAUUAUUAAACCGGUCAAUAAAGGAGAGAUCAUGGUUCUUAAACAACUCUUCGGCUGCACCAGCAGAAAGAAUCACCAUGGUCUUGACAGCUCCAAGAUUUAGCCACACAACAGGACCAUAUUUUUGUUUCAGUGCAGCUAGACUUCUGUGUGGUGAAGCUCCAAGAUCGAAUAUAUUGCCAAUGACUGGCCAGCCUUGAGGCCCCGGAGGAAGCUUGGCUCGUCUGUAACUAUUCUUUCUCCUCAAGUGCCAAGCAAGCGGCAUCAGAGUGAUCAAAAUGGACCAAAGAACAUAGUUCCACAUCCACUCCAUGCUCAGAUUACAGAUUUGCUACUAAAU
rnacentral:lncRNA from 1 species